UUCAAGGACUAGGGAAAGUUUCACAGAUGGAAUUUGGUGCUGUCCUGACUCUGCUGACCAGGAUUCAAUUCCCAGCUCCAUAAAUGGUCCCCCAAGCCCUGCCAGGGGUUCAGUUAUGCCUGAGCACAAAGCCAGAAGUCAGCUUUGAGCAUCACUGAGUGUGGUCCCAAAACAAAUGAACACAGUUCCAUCUGACACUAACAUUUUUUUUUGACAUUUUUCGGUCACAGGGGUUACUCCUGACUCUGCUCUCAGGAAUUGCUCCUGGUGGUGCUCGGGGGACCAUAUGGGGUGCUGGGAAUCAAAGCCGGGUCAGCCACAUGCAAUGCAAAUGCCUUACCAGCUGUGCUAUCACUCCAGCUCCUGACAGUAAUAUUUUUGAAUUACAGAUGGGUAAGACCUGCUUGCCUUCUCAGGCCCUUGCUCCACCAAAUAGCAACAAGAAAGCUAAGAGUAGUCUCUUGGGUGGGCUGCAGUGAUAGCACAGCGGUAGGGCGUUUGCCUUUCUCGUGGCAGACCGGUGUUUGAUUCCUCUGCCCUCUCGGAGAAGCCACAAGCUACCGAGAGUAUCGCUCCCACCUGGCAGAGCCUGGCAAGCUACCCAUGGCAUAUUAGAUAUGCCAAAAGCAGCAACAAAUAAGUCUCACAAUGAGAGACGUUACUGGUGCCUGCUCGAAAAUUGAUGAGAAACGGGACCCACAACUUGAAUCAACUCGAUUCCCCAGUUUCUGCCCUGCUCUCAGCUCCUACAUCAUCCCAGCCCCACAAACACAACUUCACAAUGGUCCAGUAUCAUGUGGGGUCGGGAUGGGGUGAGGAGGAAAGAAAUUGUUUUUUAAGGAUUCAGGGGGACUACCAAUCACAAAGAUUUUUAUGACUUGCCUCUUCCAGGGUAGUUUUCCACACAAAGUCAGUGCUCCUCAUUUUCCAGUUUCACUAGGUGGUGCUCUCUGUCUGCUACCCAAAUGUCCAGGAUGAACAAGAACCAGCUGCUUCCUAGAGGUCCUUGCCCCUAGGUCCUUAAAUUAGCUCUCUGGUCUCUAAUCCCGGGACUCAAUGGUAACAAGAUGACAUACAAUUUUCACACACUUUCCUCUAAGGAAACCGUUUUGCAUCAUGUUUAGUCAAUUAUUUAUAACAAGCAAUACAAAACAAAUUCUUUAACAUCUUUUUGGACAGAAUUGGGUCGUGGUAUGAAAACUCAAAAUAAAGGUAGUUGGAAAGGUGUAACGGAGGUGGAACUGGUGUUGAAAUAUUGAACGUAACCAAUUACUACGAACAACUCUUAGAACAAAAAAAGAAAGAAAAUUAGCCAUCUGGCCUCUUCAAGAAAGACUUGUGCUGAUUGGACUCCAUGGAGUUCUAAGGUGGGGAUUUAGCACCUCGCCCUGCACACUGUGGGCUGGGCCUGGCCACAGUAGCCCCGCCCCCAGCACGCCCCACCCCUCGGGCGCGCCCCCUUUGAAAAAGCGCAGGCGCAGUGCCGCCAUGAGCCUGGUCACUCAGGCACAGUGAAGCCGAGGAGGGCUGAGGUGGUACCUUUCACGGUUCCCAGCAAGAGUGACAAAACCCUGUUGGUGUGGGAGCUGAGCCUUGACCCCACGGUCAAAGCCUUGCAUGUGAGCCGGGUCCGGAGGGCAGGACGGGGUGUUCCGGGAAAGGCGACCCGCGAGCCCGACUUCCCGCCGUGGCCCCGCGCCCUGCACUGUGCCAAGGGAACCGUGGCUGUCAGCUCGCCGCGACACUUUCUGCUGCUGCACCUCGGGCCCGUGGCCGUGCGACUCUGCUGCACCCGGGGCUUGCAGAGUGCAGCGUGCUGGGGAUGUGGCCCCCCGCGCGGGGCCGGGGCGUGUGCGGGGAGGGUGGCCUCGCAUGCCAGACUGUGCGGUGGGUGACCGCGGCGGCCCCGCAUCGUUCUCUGUCUGCAGCCUUCUCCUGAUUCGCCUUCUGUGUGCGGUGCGCGUCUUCCCCAACGCUGUGGCCGCCCCGCCGGUUUUUACGCAGCGGUCAUUUUAUUCUGCGCGCGCUGCUCACUCAGCCCAAGGGGCCUGCGGCCGGCAGCCGCUCUUCCAGUUCUCUCCGCUGAAGCUCAUUCUCACUCCCCGUCCUUUCCUCCAUGCCUGCGCCUUCAUCAGACAUGAGAGCACCCCUCCGUGGUGACCAUAGACUCAGCUGUUCAGAUUAAUCAGAGACUAUGGAAAUAAUGCAGAAAAGUACCAUGGCUUGAAAAUAAUGAGUAUUAGUCUUUAGUAUGAACAUAAUGUCUAAACUGUUUAAGGAACAAAGAAAUAGGUCAGGAGUUAAUGUGCUGACCUUGCUUGCUGCUAACCCAGUUCUAUACCCAGCAACACAUAGAUUCCCCCAACCAACAUGUGGAGUAUACCCAGAGCACAGAGCUAGGAGUAACUGAUUACUGCUGAGUAUGGCUCUGAAACAAGAGCAACCACCAAAGUUUGCUUGAUUUGCUCUUCACAGCCACUUUAUGAAACUUGUAUUGAGAAGUCUUGGUCGGCUGAAUUAGAUCUCUGUGGCAAGUCAUUCCUAUCCUUGAGUAUGUCUCUUAUGUCUUUAGGUUCGUCUCAGCAGACAUAAACCACUUCAGCAUUGGACACUUGCCCUAAAAUGUUCCCAAUGCCAGGAACUGGCAAAAUGCUAUCUUGGUUUCAAUGGAUGGUCUGAAAGGAUUGUCAGCUUUGGAAGUGGAGAUAGAGUUCAAGUGCAAAGCCUGUGCCCGCCGUGUUCAAGGCCCUGGCUUUUGUCCUGAGUACUUCAUGACUCCACAGCACUGUGAGGUGUGACCCCAGCGGGCCCUGAGGACCGACAGACCUGGCAGAUGGGAGUUGUCUAAGUGAAAGUGUCUGAGCAUCGGUCACACCCCAGAGUCAGUAAAGAUCUCAGUGAAUUGACGUGUUGUCCAUAUUCUACAACACUUGUGUGCUCUGUUUGUGCAUGGUUGGUGUAGUUCAUGGAAAGUUUUGCUUACUGUUGAAGUCACAGGUUACUUCAACUAUUGGCAAGGAUUGCUGGAAUUUAGUUAUUACUUCUAAUUAAACAUUUUAAAAUCUACAUUGAUGGGAUUAUACGGCAGCUGGGGGCAGUUUCUGGGUAUGACUGCCUAGCGACUGGAAAAUGGAGAAUUUGGGUGGAAGAGGCCCAGUCCCGAACAUCCACACUAUAAAACCAAGCUCCCAGAAGCAUGCGGCCAUGAUGCGGCCACGGGACAUCUGAUAGGCUAGUUCUCCCUCUUGUAGAACCUGGCAUUCUAUGAGAGUUUACUGCCUGCAUGGGGGAGAGACCUUGUCAAGUUCCCUGUGGUGUAUUCAUAUGCCAAAUACAGUAACAAUGAUGGGUCUCAUUCCCCUGACCCUAAAGACCUCACCUCAAAUGCGGCACCACUGGGAAGGACGAGUAAAGAGAGGCUGCAAAAAUCUCAGGGCUAGGAUGAAUGGACGUUAUUGGGCCCGCUCAGGCAAAUCGAUGAUCAAUGGAGUGACAGUGACAGUGAAAAUCUACAUUGAGAUAUUCAGAAGGACCUUCAAUCUAAAAUCCUAACAGCUUCAGGAUCUUUCUGACCUUGAAGAAAGGGAAAACGAAGAUAUUGUGGCACCACUUCAGAAGCAAAGUGUGAAGUUCUGUGCUUUAGAGGUGGUAUUGUCAUCUUUUGAUUGCAAGAGCCCUGGAGUUGGCAUAGCCGAGACUUUGGAUAAACUGGAAGGUCUCUGUGGGGACUGGAAUAAGGGUAUGCGUAAGAACUCAUUCUCUAUCUCUCUCUUUCUCUCUCUCUCCUCUCUCUCUCUUUGUCUCCUCUCUCUCUUUCUCUAUCAUAUUUUCAGAUACAUCAGAAAUAGCCCUCUCCUUGCCAAACUGCUAAAGCCUUGGGCAGAUGUUUUUUAGCAAUACUUGUUUAAAUCUUAGGUAAUAGCCAACAGAACUGGAAUUUCUGGAGGGUUUGGGGGGUAUGCUCGGGACACCUGAAUGGUGCUCCUGGCUCAGUACUCAGAAAUCACUCCUGGCAGUGCUCAGUGGACUCUGUGGGAUACUGGGGAUCAAACCUGGAUUGGCUACAUGCAAGGCAAGUAUCCUACCUGCUGUGCUAUCACUCUGACAGAACCUUGAACUUCACAAUUUUAGAGCUGUCUUUCUACCAAGAAGCUUAGGGGUAUGGAGAUGGGAACAAUGUUUCUCCUAUUUGGGGUAAGAAUCUUCUUUGUUCCAAAGUAAUCUUCCAAAUAUGAAUCAUGUGUAAUCUUUCAUUAUCCCAGAAAAAUGUUCAUCUAGAUAAUGAAAUAAACUAAUAUAAAUGUUUUUACCCCCAGAAUCUAUGGCACGUAGGCUUAGGGUAUUCAGUCAAAGGCAGGGCUGUUAGUGAAAGAACUGGAACAGCCUCUGGUAGGUGAAUCUUAGGGAGAGACCAGCUCAUCUAUGCCACUACCAACCCUUUCUCAAGCUCCUGUUUUUUCUUUUAAUUUAAUUUUAUAGAGUAAUUCACAAUAUUUGAUUACAUUUAAUAUUCGAACACCAAUCCCACCACCAUUACACCUUCCUACCACCGUACUUUGGAUGUUUCCGUCCCGAACCCGAACCCCUGCCCCAAAGCAGAACUGAAAGAAUUUGUUUUGUAUUGUUUGUUCUGAAUCAACUGCUGAAAAUACUCCAAAAAAGUUUCCUUGGAGGAAAGUAUGUGAAUAUUUUUGUAUUUCCCCCAGGGACUAUUAAGCCUGUCAAUAAAGCUUACUGACAUGUUGUUAAA